CAAUAGCGUAUACUAAUGUUGUUGCAGUUAAAAAGCUCGUAGUUGAACUUCUGGUAGGAGUGUCCCGGCCUUUUUGUUUUUACAAAUUGUAUGCUGUGUGACAUCUCUGGCCAUCCUUCUUCUUUGUUUAAAGAAGAUCUUUCACUGUAAAAAAAUUAGGGUGUUCAAAGCAAAAGUUUCUUUGGAAUAUAUUAGUAUGGGAUGAUAAGAUAGGCUCUAGAUGCUAUUUUGUUGGUUUGCAAAUUUAGAGAAUGAUUAACAGGGACAGUUGGGGGUAUUCGUAUUUACAUGUCAGAGGUGAAAUUCUUGGAUUUUGGAAAGACGAACUACUGCGAAAGCAUUUACCAAGGAUGUUUUCAUUAA
rnacentral:rRNA from 1 species